rnacentral:ncRNA from 2 species
UUAUUCCUUCGGGGCAGGGUGAAAUUCCCUACCGGCGGUGAUGAUGCAUUUCGUUUAUGGCGUACGGCCAUGAAACUGGUGCAUCUUAGUCCGUGACCCGGCCGCGUGGCCUUUAGCGCCCGCGUACGGUGGACCCGGUGCAAAUCCGGGACCGACAGUAUAGUCUGGAUGGGAGAAGGAGCGA